GACGUAGGGCGCGAGCGUUGUCCGGAUUUAUUGGGCGUAAAGAGCUCGUAGGCGGUUUGUCGCGUCGAAUGUGAAAACCCGGGGCUCAACUCCGGGCCUGCAUUCGAUACGGGCAGACUAGAGUUCGGUAGGGGAGUCUGGAAUUCCUGGUGUAGCGGUGAAAUGCGCAGAUAUCAGGAGGAACACCGGUGGCGAAGGCGGGACUCUGGGCCGAUACUGACGCUGAGGAGCGAAAGCGUGGGGAGCAAACAGG
rnacentral:rRNA from 1 species